AUUGAACGCUGGCGGCAUGCUUUACACAUGCAAGUCGAACGGCAGCACGACGUGUAGCAAUACACGUUGGUGGCGAGUGGCGAACGGGUGAGUAAUACAUCGGAACGUGUCCAGUAGUGGGGGAUAACCAAUCGAAAGAUUGGCUAAUACCGCAUACGAUCUACGGAUGAAAGCGGGGGACCCGCAAGGGCCUCGCGCUAUUGGAGCGGCCGAUGUCCGAUUAGCUAGUUGGCGGGGUAACGGCCCACCAAGGCGACGAUCGGUAGCUGGUCUGAGAGGAUGAUCAGCCACACUGGAACUGAGACACGGUCCAGACUCCUACGGGAGGCAGCAGUGGGGAAUUUUGGACAAUGGGCGCAAGCCUGAUCCAGCCAUGCCGCGUGAGUGAAGAAGGCCUUCGGGUUGUAAAGCUCUUUCGGCGGGGACGAAACGGUCCGUGCUAACACCGCGGACUAAUGACGGUACUCGCAGAAGAAGCACCGGCUAACUACGUGCCAGCAGCCGCGGUAAUACGUAGGGUGCAGGCGUUAAUCGGAAUUACUGGGCGUAAAGCGUGCGCAGGCGGCUCCUUAAGUCAGAUGUGAAAGCCCCGGGCUUAACCUGGGAACUGCGUUUGAAACUGGGGUAGCUAGAGUGUGGAAGAGGGGGGUGGAAUUCCAGGUGUAGCAGUGAAAUGCGUAGAGAUCUGGAGGAACACCGAUG
rnacentral:rRNA from 1 species